AGAAUGGCGUGAACCCGCGGAGGUGGAGCUUGCAGUUGCCACUGAACUCCAGCCUGGUGACAGAGCGAGACUCUGUCUCAAAAGAAAAAAAAAACAAUGUUAUGAGCACAGAAAUAUGGGUCAAUAUUUGUCCCCUUUGAAAAAAUUUCCUGAGAUAACUUGAAGCUCACAUCUAAAUCUCUUAUAUUUGUAGCUGUGGGAGAGGAAAGACUUUUACUCUAUUUUCUUAGGUUUUGCUGCUGUGGUCUGUGAAUUGGACUGACAAAAGGCAGAUUAAUAGGAGAAAAAGCAUACAGAUUUUGUUUGAUGUUAAUAUUUUUAUGUGGUGCAGGGGGCUUCAUAGAAAGGAGUGAAAAUUCUAAGGAAGCCGUUAGGCCCAGGGUCUUCUAUAUCAUUCUCACAAAGAGAAAUAAAUAAUGGAGACAUGACAAAGCAAAGGAAAAAGAGACUCUUGGGCUACGGGUGGGGAAGUGUGGGAAAGUAACUAGAAAAUAUAUGGGGAAACUAAUGGAUAAUAAGAGUUAUUUUAUUAAUAGUAAGGCUUGCCUUUGGUGAUAAGAAUGUUCUCCUCCUUCUGGUAUAGGGAGGUCACCUUUCCCAUGGAAAUGUAUGCUUUGCCUUAAGGUAGAAAGGGGAAAGACAAAGACUCUCCCCUGCUGCUGUUUCUCAAUGGCUUUCAGCUCAAAAUAAUAAAUAUGCCAAAGUGGUAUAUCUUGGGGUGACAUGUUCUGAUCCUCUUCACAGUCUAUUUCCUCUUUUCUCAAAAGGAGCUGUAGAAAACAUUGCUCCUUCGAGACUCCAUCUCAAAAAAAAAAAAAAAAAAGGAAAACAUUGUUCCCUAAUGGUAGUUGCUGUUCAAUGUUUAUUUACUCACAUCACAGCAUAAAAGGUUGCAGUAUAAAUUAGGUGAUUAUGACUUUCUAACAGAGGAAACUAAAGUCACUUAGACUUUUAAAAUUCCUAUUCACUUCGUAGUUCAUUAGGUUUCAUUAGGCACACACGCACAUACACACAUUACAGAAGGAAACUAAAAUAUUUCAGAUUUAUGUAUGUAUGUAUGUAUGUAUUCUUUAUUUUUGAGAUGCAGUCUUGCUCUGUCGCCCAGGCUGGAGUGCAGUGGCGUGAUGCCGGCUUACUGCAACCUCUGCCUCCCCAGUUCAGUUCAAGCAAUUCUCUUGGCUCAGCUACCCUAAUAGCUGGGACUACAGGUGCGUGCAACCACGCCCAGCUAAUUUUUGUAUUUUUAGUAGAAAUGGGUUUGGCCAGGCUGGUCUUGAACUCCUGACCUCAGGUGAUCCACCCGCCUCAGCCUCCCAAAGUGCUGGGAUUACAAGCGUGAGCCACCGUGCCUGACCCUGGAUAGUUUUAAUAGUAGAGUCAAUCUGUGUCCAUUUACUAGUCAAUCCUCUUUCAUGUACAUAAUUAUUUCUAAGGAAAAAACAAAAAAAAGACCCACCCUCAUUCAAACAUCUGUAUAUUUACCGUAUAAUCCUCCUACUGGAUUUGCUCUGGAUUUAAUUUUCGAAGGCUCUAAAGUCUUUAACUGAAGCUUAAAAAACAAAUAGACUUUAGGUAUCUAGGCUUUAUUCUGAGUUCGAUGCCUCCUAAGUUUUUAAGACUUAACAAGAACCAUUUCACUUUCCAACAUUCACUUUAAAAAUGUUUUUCCAUACUUUUUCUGACUACAAAAUAUAUGUUUACAAAAUAUCAGAGUGGUUUGUCUAAUGUUAUUUGCAAAGCAGUGACUUCCUGGAGCUGUCAUUAACUAUACUAUGUCUCCCUCCCCCAAAUCCCAGGAUAAUCCCCUCUGAAGGCUUGGUAGACUUUACAGAAUUAUUAUGACAUCCUGAGUGUUCUUCAGGCUUUGAAUCACAGAAAUUAUUUUUCCAGCAUUAUAAGUUAUCUGUGAUCAUUUUACUGCCAUGUCCUCUGAAAUACUCAAGAAGACAAAGUCAAUAUGGCUGAAUUUGGCGCUGAAUUUGCUCUAUGACCUUGCAGUCUCUUGGGUCUCUGAAUGGUGCUGGCAUUACCAGGAGAGAUGGGAUGUGUGAGUAGGCCCAUACAGCAAUCAGAGGAACUCUAGACAGUUCCUACAGAGUUGCUGUCUGUAGAGGCCCCUAUAGAGUCAUCACUAAUCAUUAGCAAGUUAGCGAGGAAUUACUUAAUUCCAGAGCUAAUGCCUCAGAGCGCACUACUACAGAAAUAGGAUUUUGAUGUGAGGGGAGGUAGGAAGUGUCAUUUUGAUGCCCUGGGUGCUGCCCAAAUCUACAGAAUGCAAUGAAAGGCAGUGCUACACACCAUGGGAAUAUGAAUUACAAUGGAAGAGGAGAAAGGAGGGAAGCACAAAAAGAGGUAGAAUAGCGCCGAAUUCAUAUCAGUUUGUCUGUCUUAUAGUUUUUCUGAACGGUGGCUCUGUUUCAGAGCUAAACCGUUCAGAAAAGGGUUAGAGAAAAAUACUCUGAGCUUAUUCCCCUCCUCACUUUGAUACCUAUUUUGAAUAUUCUUUUUUAAUGGUCACAUCUGAGUUUGCCCAACUCCUAUAUAUACAGAAGCAGCAUCAUAUUGAGAGUUGUUAUAAAGUAGAUCAGUGAAAAAAAUUAAACCAAAAUGUUCACAUUUAGGUCAAAACAUUUAUAUUGCUCUCAUGAAGUAAACUGGUAAUUUUCUUGUUAUUUAAAUGAAACCUAUGACUAUAAGACAUUCUAAGAAACAAUCUUCCUUAUAGCCUCAGAUAAUGACUUCUCUGAUUGCUAGAUCUCUAUUAGCAGGACACAAACUAAUUAUAGCUGUCUGAUUGGUGUUAUUUGGGAAAAGUAAUUGUCCAAAAAAAGGGAAUAUGCAGAUAGGCUGGUUUAAUAAUUUGUAUAUCAUUUGCCCUUUGGCAAAUUUUAUUUAUAUUAACAUAUAAAUUUAUAUUAUAAACAUAUACAUUUAUAUUAACAUAUAAAUUAACUCACAAAGCAUAUUCUCUGGAACAAUUACAUAAAAUAUAACCAAGCUCAUAAAAUCUCUCUCCACACACUAGAAUUUCCCAUAAUUCAAAAUGGAAAAAGAACUCAAGAUUCUGAAAACAUGUAAGACUGCUUCACUGUGCCAUAGAAUUUUGAGUCGUUUCCAAUAAAAGACUUUCUUUAAUGUUGGGCAAAAAUGUCUUGCCAAAUAGGUCAGCAGAAGGUAGAGAAUACAAGUUUUGGGAUAUCUGCCUAGGCAUGCCAAGGCUGUUCAGUUAUUUAAUACUCUCACGUUCUACAUGUAGCUUCAAUGGCCAGAAUGCAGAUUCUGAAAACAAACAAACAAACAAGUACUUGAGAAUAAUGUUCAAUCUGUUACUAGAAAGGAGCCCCGAUCCAGACCCCAAGAGAGGGUUUUUGAUCUUGUGCAAGAAAGAAUUCAGGGCAAGUCCAUACAGUAAAGUGAAAGCAAGUUUAUUAGGAAAGUGAAGGAAUAAAAGAAUGGUUACUCCAUAGGCAGAGCAAACCCAAAGGCGGCUGGUUGCCCAUUUUUAUAAUUACUUCUUGACCAUAUGCUAAGCAAGGGGUGGAUUAUUCAUGCCUCCCCCUUUUAGACCAUAUAGGGUAACUUCCUGACAUUGCCAUGGCAUUUCUAAUUGUCAUGGUGCUGGUGGGAGUAUAGCAGUGAAGACGACCAGAGGCCACUCUUGUCACCAUCUUUGGUGGGUUUUAGCCGACUUCUUUACUGCAACCUGUUUUAUCAGCAAGGUCUUUAUGACCUGUAUCUUGUGCUGACCUCCUAUCUCAUUCUGUGAUUUAGAAUGCCUUACCUCCUGGGAAUGCAGACCAGCAGGUCUUAGCCUUAUUUUACCCAGCCCCUAUUCAAGAUGGAGUUGCUGUGGUUCAAACACCUCUGACAAAUCUACGAGAAUAAAGCCCAGAAAUCAUUGCAGCAAUUUAUGUCAUCUAGUCUCAAAAAUUCUGUUGCAACCCAGGAAGUGGAUCAUGCCUAAAAGGCUCUGAAUAGAGGAUUUAAGGAUACUGUAGUAUUUCUGAAAACUUUGAUAAAUGGCUAUGAACAUUAGAUGGUAAUUGUUUGAGUCAUCAAUGAAGAUAUUAAUAUUAAUAUUUUUCACAAGAUCCUUUUUUCAGAUUAAUGAGAUCCCUCCCUUAAUUUAUUUAUAUUUGGAGGGGGUGGUCCCAAAAUACAGAAAAUGUAAUGAAUAUCUGUGAUAAAUGCUCACCACCAAAAUGAACAAACAACUUUUAUUUUCUUCAAGAUUUUCUUUUCUUUUUAAAAUACUGUAUGUUUUCUUAACCAGGCCCAUUCUUUUCCCUUUUCCUGAAGUUUGGCAUCAUCUGGUGUACACAUCCCAAUUAUAUUUUUGUAUUUGUACUCUAUUUAUUUUAUGCAUUUUAAUGUAGUUUUGUAAUAUUCUCCAUAAAUGUCUUGACCAAUUUUUUAAAUAAUUGUGUUACAUUUUCUAAUCAUUAUUGCUGUUAAGUAUGGUGUUGUUUUUUGACAAUCAAUCUUAGAUUAGGUAAUCUUCCGCAUUCACUUAAUUUUACAAGUUAUCUAAAGGCUUUUUAGACUUCUUCUAGGAAGGCAAUUAUAUAGUCUACUGAUGAAAAUUUCCUCUCUUCUUUUCAAUCCUUAUACCCUAUAUCUCUUUUUUCUCUUAUUAUUCCUUUGGUUAGGAAUGCCAGUACAAAAUUGGGAAGUAAAACGAUUGCAGGUAUCCAUGUUUUAUUUCUUAUUUUAAUAUAAACGCUUCUUAAGUUUCACCAUUUUGACUAAUACUUGCUGUCACUGCUUAGUAGAUUCACUUGAUUAGGUAGGUGAAGUUGCCAUCUAUACACAUUUUUUGAGUUGGUUUUUCUGCUUUAUUGAGAGGAGCAUAUGGCUUUUCUCUAUCAAUCUCUGUUUUUUUUUUUUUUUUAAGACUGUCUUGCUCUGUCGUCAGGCUGGAGUGCAGUGGUGUGAUCUUGGCUCACUGCAAUCUCCGCCUCCCGGGUUCAAGUGAUUCUCCUGCCUCAGCCUCCCUAGUAGCUGGGAUUACAGGCAUGCACCACCACACCCAGCUAAUUUUGUUUUUUGGAUUUUUAGUAGAAACAGGGUUUCACCAUGUUGGCCAGGAUUGUCUCGAUCUCCUGACCUCGUGAUCUGCCCGCCUCAGCUUCCCAAAGUGCUGGGAUUACAAAUGUAAGCCACUGCGUCCGGCCUCAAUCUCUUAAUAUGGUAAAUAUUAUUAAUUUUAUAGGCUUUCCUGAUUUUUAAAUCACCUUUGGCUUCAUAGCAUGAAUCUAUUUGGUCACACACAAAUUUAAUUCAACAUGGUAAUUUUAGGACUUUUUCAUUCAUUCAUUUAGUAAGUACUCAUUGAGUACUACUUACAUGACAGGAACUUAGGCAAUAGAAGUAUAGCAGUAAUUAAAACAAAUUUUUAAGAAAUCAUUGCCUUCAUUGAUUACAUUGAAGGAAUCGGUUAACAAUUAUGAUUAAUAAGUAACAUAUAUAAUAUGUUAGACAGUGAUCACUGUUAAAGAAAAGAACAAGAAAGAGGAAAUACAAACUCUUCAAGAAGAGCUCAAAUUUAAGUUGAGUGCCCAGAGAAGUCCUCAUAAAAAUGCAAAUUUGAAAAAUGCCUGUAGAAAGGGAGCCUAGCUCUUCUGCUACCUGGGUGAAGAAUAUACCAGGCAGAGGAAACAGAAGUUAAACAACCCUGAGGUAGGAACAUUUCUGAUACAUUUGAAGAGUUAUUUGGUAACUUUUUUUUUAGAAAACUGACCAUUUCACUGAAAUUUUCAAAUUUAUUGGCAUAAAAUUAUCUAUAAUUUUAAAUUAUUUUAUUAAACUAUUGUAUUUGCAAUUCCUUAUAUUGCUGUUUUGUCACUUUUGAUUUUGAUCAGACUACCUAGAAGUUUGUCUAUUUUGUUACUAUUUUCAAAAUUAUUAUUACCUAAUAUUCUCUGUAGAUUGGAGUUGGCAAUUUACACAUUGCAUCUCUGAUGUGCAAAAAAAGUCACUUGAUAUUUCUUUUCUACCCCAGGUAACAUUCUUUCCUCUCACCCUCACAGUGGACGCUAGUAAACCUCUGCAUCUCUUCAACGUCAAACAGGAGCUGCUGAAAAUUUGGGGCUUCUGGCCCAGACCCUCCCUCUGCCUAAACACAUCAUGCUGCCAUUUUGACUCCACUGCAACUGAAUGCUAUUGGCAUGAAGAUAUUCUGUAAGCACACCUGGGUAUUAUUACUGGCAGAAGGUGUCCGGGUUCUUGGUGUUUUGAACAAAGAAUUGGACAAAAUGCACAAACAUAGCAAUGAAAGAAAAGCACAGAUUUUUUUUUUUUUUUUGAGAUGGAGUCUCGUUCUGUUGCCCAGGCUGGAAUGCAAUGGCACGAUCUCGGCUCACUGCCCUCCUGGGUUCAAGUGAUUCUUCUGCCUCAGCCUCCCAAGUAGGUGGGAUUACAGGCACCCACCACCACACCUGGCUAAUUUUUGUAUUUUUAGUAGAGACAGGGUUUCACCAUGUUGGUCAGGCUGGUUUCGAACUCCUGACCUCAUGUGAUCCACCCGCCUUGGCCUCCCAAAGUGCUGGGAUUACAGGUGUGAGCCACCACACCCGGCCUGAAAAGCACAGAUUUAUUGAAGCUAAAGUACACUCCACAGAGUGGGAGUUGGCUAGAGCAAGCGGCUCGAGAGCACCAGUUACAGAAUUUUCUAGGAUUUAAAUAUUAUCAUCUAGAGGUUUCCCACUGGUUACUUGGUGGACAUCCUAUGUAAAUGAAGAGGAUGAAGUGAAGUUACAAGAUUAUUUACUUGGUGUACACCCUAUGCAAAUGAAGAGGAUGUUUCCUGCCAUAGCUGAGCAGAUAGCCCAGACUACCCCACUGCCGGAGUCUCCUGCUGACCUUGAAAGAGCAAACUGACAAUGUAGCAGGGACUAGCAGGUGGCUUUUAAGGAAGUGGAAAAUAGCCCCCAGCUGACAACCAACAAGAAAGUAUGUCUUUGUGCCUACAACUGCA